UACGGAGGAUCCGAGCGUUAUCCGGAUUUAUUGGGUUUAAAGGGUGCGUAGGUGGAUUGGUAAGUCAGUGGUGAAAGUUUGCAGCUUAACUGUAAAAUUGCCGUUGAAACUGCCGGUCUUGAGUGCAAAUGAGGUAGGCGGAAUGCGUCGUGUAGCGGUGAAAUGCUUAGAUAUGACGCAGAACUCCGAUUGCGAAGGCAGCUUACUAAACUACUACUGACGCUCAGGCACGAAGGCGUGGGGAUCAAACAGGAUUAGAUACCCGGGUAGU
rnacentral:rRNA from 1 species